rnacentral:rRNA from 1 species
UACGUAGGGUGCGAGCGUUGUCCGGAAUUAUUGGGCGUAAAGAGCUUGUAGGCGGUUUGUCGCGUCUGCUGUGAAAAUCCGGGGCUCAACCCCGGACUUGCAGUGGGUACGGGCAGACUGGAGUGUGGUAGGGGAGACUGGAAUUCCUGGUGUAGCGGUGGAAUGCGCAGAUAUCAGGAGGAACACCGGUGGCGAAGGCAGGUCUCUGGGCCACUACUGACGCUGAGAAGCGAAAGCAUGGGGAGCGAACAGG